GACGAACGCUGGCGGCGUGCCUAAUACAUGCCAGUAGAACGCACAGUUUAUACCGUAGCUUGCUACACCAUACACUGUGAGUUGCGAACGGGUGAGUAACGCGUAGGUAACCUGCCUGGUAGCGGGGGAUAACUAUUGGAAACGAUAGCUAAUACCGCAUAAUAUUAAUUAUUGCAUGAUAAUUGAUUGAAAGAUGCAAUUGCAUCACUACCAGAUGGACCUGCGUUGUAUUAGCUAGUAGGUGAGGUAACGGCUCACCUAGGCGACGAUACAUAGCCGACCUGAGAGGGUGAUCGGCCACACUGGGACUGAGACACGGCCCAGACUCCUACAGGAGGCAGCAGUAGGGAAUCUUCGGCAAUGGACGAAAGUCUGACCGAGCAACGCCGCGUGAGUGAAGAAGGUUUUCGGAUCGUAAAGCUCUGUUGUAAGAGAAGAACGGGUGUGAGAGUGGAAAGUUCACACUGUGACGGUAUCUUACCAGAAAGGGACGGCUAACUACGUG
rnacentral:rRNA from 1 species